rnacentral:rRNA from 1 species
AGAACGAACGCUGGCGGCAUGCCUAAUACAUGCAAGUCGAACGAAGGCUUCGGCCUUAGUGGCGCACGGGUGCGUAACGCGUGGGAAUCUGCCCCUUGGUUCGGAAUAACAGUUGGAAACGACUGCUAAUACCGGAUGAUGACGAAAGUCCAAAGAUUUAUCGCCAAGGGAUGAGCCCGCGUAGGAUUAGCUAGUUGGUGAGGUAAAGGCUCACCAAGGCGACGAUCCUUAGCUGGUCUGAGAGGAUGAUCAGCCACACUGGGACUGAGACACCGGCCCAGACCUCCGUACGGGAGGCAGCAAGUAGGGAAUAGUUAGGACAAGUGGGACGAAAGCCUAGACUCCAGACAAUCGGCCGGCGU